rnacentral:rRNA from 1 species
UACAGAGGUCUCAAGCGUUGUUCGGAUUCAUUGGGCGUAAAGGGUGCGUAGGCGGCGCGGUAAGUCGGGUGUGAAAUCUCGGAGCUUAACUCCGAAACUGCAUUCGAUACUGCCGUGCUUGAGGACUGGAGAGGAGACUGGAAUUUACGGUGUAGCGGUGAAAUGCGUAGAUAUCGUAAGGAAGACCAGUGGCGAAGGCGGGUCUCUGGACAGGUUCCUGACGCUGAGGCACGAAGGCCAGGGAGCAAACGGG